GGGAGUGAUCGGCUUCGAUAGAGAAGCUCAUCCUUCUAGUGUAUGCCGAGGAUUCUAACUGUCUCGUAAAAACUGUUAGAAAAACGCAAAUGCCAAUUCAACUGGCAAAGGUGUAGUAAGUCCUUAUUACACUCCGGCUUUCGCUCUAGCUUAAAGUUAGACCAAAAGUUGGUGUUUACUCUAGCCUUUUUUCCGGCUAGCUAGAGUAAACAUUUCGCGAGUCGGAAUCGUUUGAGAGAGGCGCUUCGCUUUCUUGAACUAAAAUAAUCGGAGAUCGAUUAAAAAGUUUUCUGUUCGUCUUUCAGCUUUUUGAUCUAAACAAAUUAGACGAUCUACGCAUAUAGAGUCUAGUCGGAAACUUUUUUACACGCGGGUUCGAUUCCCGCCACUUCCACCG
rfam:Parcubacteria bacterium GW2011_GWB1_42_9 TV50_C0006, whole genome shotgun sequence.